CAUCCUCCAAGGCUAAAUACUCCUGACUGACCGAUAGUGAACCAGUACCGUGAGGGAAAGGCGAAAAGAACCCCUGUGAGGGGAGUGAAAUAGAUCCUGAAACCGUAUGCGUACAAGCAGUGGGAGCGGACUUGUUCCGUGACUGCGUACCUUUUGUAUAAUGGGUCAGCGACUUAUAUUCAGUGGCGAGCUUAACCGUCUAGGGGAGGCGUAGGGAAACCGAGUCUUAAUAGGGCGUUUAGUCGCUGGGUAUAGACCCGAAACC
rnacentral:rRNA from 1 species